UACAGAGGGUGCGAGCGUUAAUCGGAAUUACUGGGCGUAAAGCGCGCGUAGGCGGCUUUUCAAGUCGGAUGUGAAAUCCCCAGGCUCAACCUGGGAACUGCAUUCGAGACUGGAUUACUAGAGUAUGGGAGAGGGAAGUGGAAUUUCCGGUGUAGCGGUGAAAUGCGUAGAUAUCGGAAGGAACAUCAGUGGCGAAAGCGACUUCCUGGACCAAUACUGACGCUCAUGUGCGAAAGCGUGGGGAGCAAACAGG
rnacentral:rRNA from 1 species